UACGUAGGUGACCAGCGUUGUCCAGAUUUACUGGGCGUAAAGAGCGCGCAGGCGGUCGUUCAAGUCGAGUGUGAAAGCCCCCGGCUCAACUGGGGAGGGUCACGCGAUACUGAUCGACUCGAAGGCAGGAGAGGGUAGUGGAAUUCCCGGUGUAGUGGUGAAAUGCGUAGAUAUCGGGAGGAACACCUGUGGCGAAGGCGACCCCCUGGUUGGAUACUGACGCUGAGACGCGAAAGCGUGGGGAGCAAACAGG
rnacentral:rRNA from 1 species